rnacentral:rRNA from 1 species
AUACUGCGUGUCUUGAGGCGGGUAGGGGCUGCCGGAACUCUAGGUGUAGCGGUGAAAUGCGUAGAUAUCUAGAGGAACGCCGAAGGUGAAGACAGGCAGCUGGGCCCGUUCUGACGCUCAGGCACGAAAGCGUGGGGAGCAAACAGGAUUAGAUACCCUGGUAGUCCACGCCGUAAACGAUGCACACUAGGUUCGGGAGGUCCUGACAUCAUCCGGGCCGAAGCAAAAGUAUUAAGUGUGCCGCCUGGGGAGUACGGUCGCAAGACUAAAACUCAAAGGAAUUGACGGGGGCUCACACAAGCGGUGGAGCAUGUGGCUUAAUUCGAGGCUACGCGAAGAACCUUAUCCUGGGUUUGACAUGCAAGAAUUAGCUACUAGAAACAGUAGUGACGCGGCUUGCCGUGGAACUUGCACAGGUGCUGCAUGGCUGUCGUCAGCUCGUGCUGUGAAGUGUUGGGUUAAGUCCCUUAACGAGCGAAACCCCUGCCGUUAGUUGCUAACAGGUUAUGCUGAGGACUCUAGCGGGACUGCCGGUGUCAAACCGGAGGAAGGUGGGGAUGACGUCAAGUCCUCAUGGCCUUUAUGCCCAGGGCUGCACACGUGCUACAAUGGCGCGCACAAAGCGACGCAAUGCCGCGAGGCGGAGCAAAUCGCAAAACACGCGCCCCAGUUCAGAUCGCAGUCUGCAACUCGACUGCGUGAAGGUGGAAUCGCUAGUAAUCGCGUAUCAGCUACGACGCGGUGAAUACGUUCCUGAGCCUUGUACACACCGCCCGUCAAGUCAUGGAAGCUGGGAGCACCCGAAGUCGCACUGUCUCAAGUGUGCCGACGGUGAACUUGGUGACUGGGACUAAGUCGUAACAAGGUAACC